UACGAAGGGUGCUAGCGUUGUUCGGAAUUACUGGGCGUAAAGCGCGCGUAGGCGGCUUGUCAAGUCAGGGGUGAAAUCCCACAGCUUGACUGUGGAACUGCCUUUGAAACUGUCAAGCUAGAGUGUCGGAGGGGAUAGCGGAAUUGCUAAUGUAGAGGUGAAAUUCGUAGAUAUUAGCAGGAACACCGGUGGCGAAGGCGGCUAUCUGGACGACAACUGACGCUGAGGCGCGAAAGCGUGGGGAUCAAACAGG
rnacentral:rRNA from 1 species